rnacentral:lncRNA from 1 species
AUGUUCUAUCAUCAUCAGGUGAGACUGAAACCGGAGUGAACCGGAAUUAACUGGAAUGAACCAGAAUGAACUGGAAUGAACCGGAAUGAACAGGAACGAAGACGCUAACAGUGACAUAAUUAUGAUGAGCACACCUCUUUUUGUGGUGACAUCAGGUCACAAAGAAAAAUGAAAAGAUGCCAAGGUGUUUGUGGAGGUGAGAUGUGGCAAAGGGCCACCAAUUGUGUGUGCACCCUCCUGCGUGAGGAUUAAAGUCACCCAAAUGCCAUGGAGAGGAGAUCCCAAAUAUUCAUGUGUUAUUAAAAUGUUGAGCAUUAACUUGUAAGUGCGAACUUCUGCAUCUUUCUAUAUAUACUAAAACAUAUACAUUUUAAAACAUAUACAUAUACAUAUAUGUAUACCCUAAGACAGAGAAAUUAACAGAUAACAUCCCAAAGCUAACUUUAGCAUGUUGAUUUGGUAUAAAAUGACCCAAAGAGACAUUUUAUGGGCUUAACAGAAUAAAGUUUGUCUUCCUUGG